AUUUUCUUUAGGACUGGAUGUGUGAAAGGCAUCAAAAUUAUUUUGAGAUGAGAGUUAAGGUAGACCAACGGACAUGAGACAAGAGACCAGUUUUAUGCAUCAAAACUUUAGGACCCAGCAACUGAUGCACAAGGAAGGAGAUUCAGACGAAACAUCAGGAAGAGCCUUCUGAACGUAAGAGCUGUUCAACAGUGGAACAGUCUUCCUUGGGAUGUUGUGGACACUCAUUCCUUGCAGGUUUUUAAGCAGAGGUUGGGUGGCCAUCAGUCAUGGAUGCUUUAGGUUAGAUUCCUGCACUGGAGUGACUGGGGAAAGGCAAUCAGGUGAGUGGGAUAUAAAUACUGUAGUAAAAUUCUUAUUCUUAUUCUUAUUAUUGGAUUAUAUGACCCUUGGGUCCCUUCCAACUCUAUGAUUCUAUGAUUCUAAAUAACCUGAAUGGUUCAGCAUCAUAUCACUGGGCGCAAUAGCACAAGGGUAGGGAACAUUUCUUCAUGAGCAACCUUGACCCCCUCUAGAUGUUCUUUUUAAUGUGGGUACAUGAUUAUUCGUACUCACAAUGGCAUCAGGGUGGUUAUAUGUGAUAGGGAUACAGGUGGCUCUGUGGUCUCUAAACCACUGAGCCUUUUGGGCUUGCCGACCGGAAGGUUGGUGGUUCGAAUCUCCACGACGGCCGGGGUGAGCUCCCAUUGCUCUGUCCUGCCAACCUAGCAGUUCGAAAGCACGCCAGUGCAAGUAGAUAAAUAGGUACUGCUGCAGCAGGAAGGUAAAUGGUGUUUCCAUGAGCUCUGGCUUCCAUUGCGCCAGAAGCAGUUUAGUCAUGCUGGCCACAUGACCCGGAAAGCUGUCUGUGAACAAACCACCGGCUCCCUCGGCCUGAAAGUGAGAUGAGCACCACACCCCAGAGUCUCCUUUGACCGGUCUUAACCUCCCAGGGGUAAUUUACCUUUUACCUUGCCUUUUAUUAUAUAUGUGAUAUGCUCUGUGUAGGUCGGAGGGAGUUUGGAGGGAGUUUUCUCUAGGAUGUUGGUUGUAUAUCUAACCCUGCUUAUGUUCAAGCUUUGCCCCAUAAACACAAAAAUCCUUCCGUUUCUUUCUUCUCCUGUUCUAUAAAGUAUUCUGUUGUGUUCAGUUUGUUCAGAAAAGUGUUAUCAGGAUUUCCUUUCUCUCUAGACUCCAUUGGCAUUAUUUAAGAGCUAACACAGGGAGCCCAAGAAACAUUUUAAUGUGUGGGUUGUUUCAGAGGGGGAAAGGUGAUCCUUAACCUUUCCCAAGUGCAGACCGUGUGACCUUGGAAGGUCAAAACCACCGCUUUCCAUUGGACCUGGAGACUGAAUGGAAGUCUGUGAUGAUGUUAUAAAGCCUGCAUUAUACACUCCUUAUGUCUUGCCUUGGUUGGCAUCCUGGUAGCUGCAUUUUAAACCAAUUAGGUUUCCAAGCACUUUUCAAAGGCAGCCCCGCCAUACAAUAACCAGAAGCCAAGGCCUUCCACCAUUUCCUCCAGCAGGAUAAACAGUGGCAGCCAAUCCUAUGCACAGUUACACAGAGCCACACAAUCUCCAUUGAUUGCUCGGCCGGGGUGGCAACAUCCAUGGCGGUCGUCUGCUCUCCGUUGACAACAAUCAAAUCUGGUUUACAGAUGGAUAUAGCCAAACAUAUUCCAGGCUCUUCUGUCAGAAUUGAUCCUUCCAAACGAAGCAGCUUAGCUGUUUGUUUCAUGACCCGGUUGUGAGGGGCGCAUAUUGCAUUGUGAGUCAGUUGGCAAGACUGGGCUAUGUUUUGGAUCCUCUGAUUGGCACAUUACAUUUUCGCCAUACCAGGAUGUGUUUAAGGACAGAUAGAAUCGUUCACAGGAAUCACAAAUGUGUCAUAUGAACAGACACUUGGACCCAUCAUCUUCUAGCGUUCUAUCAUGGAAUGUGCAUUUCUUCCGACAAUCACGCUAAGAUGAGCUUGGGUGCCUACAGACUUUGGCACAAGACACUGUCCAGAUGGGAAUUUAAACACCCAGGGAACUAUAAGCAAAUACUGACAAUGUGCUUUGUAAGGCAAUUACUUUUUAGAUGCUCUACUACACCUAGACCCCGUUGACAAAUAAAUCCAAACCUUUAUUUGUUUGUUUGUGGCAUAGUGUGGGGAGGUGGAAGAGUGAAUGAAGGAAUGAUAAGAGGAAUUUUGAGCCAAACAAAUAUUUGUAUACUGUGCUCUUCCACAAACAUGCUUGCAGUCAAGAGCAAAUGACAACAGUAGCAGCUACAACAAAUCACAUUUCUUUCAAAAUAAGAAAAGCAAUUACACAAAGUACAUAAGAACCAAACGGAAAGGAUCACAAAACAAUUCAAAUAAAAAUUGCAGAAGGAGAAAUGCUUUGCUAUAACGGUAACUAGAAGCAGAACUGUAACACAUCAAAACACAUUUAUAUAGGACCACACAGCUCAGAGAAUACACUGUUUAAUUCAAUUACACAGAUUCCCGACAGGUUCAAAACAUGCUCCACAUCCACACCACAUUCCCAAACCUUUGACUUGCUGAGUAAAUAUCAUAUACUAUCCCUUAUGGAAAAAAACAACCUGAAAUAUUUGUGUUAUUAUCCAAUCUUUUUCUACUCAUAGGAUCAUAGGAAGCCACUUUAGACUGAUCCAGACCAUUAGACUAUUGGUCUAUCUAGAUCAAUAUUCUUUUCACUGACUGGCAGUAUCUCUCCAGCGAUUCAGAUCAAGAGUCUCUCUCAGUCCUACCUGGAGCGCCAAAAGUAAUUCAGUAAUGGCAAAGAGUGCUUAGAAAUAUCUCUCUGCCACAUACCGCUGUACCUCACGGACUUAAACAAUUAUACCAUUUUGUGUUCCUGUCUCUUUUACUGUUCUUAUAUAGAUGUGGCUGCCAUUUUGCUUUGUGCCAUGACCCCAUAGCAGCCAUUUUGUGACUGGAGCCUGCACUACUUUCUCAGCAUUCAAAAGGUGGCCACUGGCCCAAAAUGGCUGCUGGCCCCUGAUUUACCACGAAGUACAUUGGUUGUGGUAUUUGGGCACCCUUCCCCCCCCUCCUUCAAGGUUACAGCAAAUGACACUUUGCUAAUCGACAACUGUUUGGCUGAGGUGGCUCCAAGGCCUCUCCUCAUGUGUUGCCACACAGAAAUCGCCUCAGAUUGCUCAGCAGCUGACGCCAGCUCUUUGGAUCGCCAGAACACACAAAUAAUUCCAAACUGUUCAAAGUCUACAAGUGUGCAGUUUGCCUUGCUUACCACCAGGUGGCAAAGCCAAUAUAUAUGCAGAUGAGCAAAGGGGGAAAGGGGUUCAUUGAACAAAAAAGCAUUUCUUUUGUUGCUUGCCAAAAGAUGGCAAAGGCCACAGAGGCUUUGGGAGCCCCAAAAGGCUGAAGAAUGUUUAGAGAUGGAACAUUAAUGUGCAUUCCUUGUUACUUGCUGCUGCUGUAGGUUGGCAGCAUUACGUGUUGACCAGUCAUCUAUGGAUUUUGUCUUCCUGUCUUCAAGUUACAUCAAGGUGUUGCUCCAUUAUGUGUUAAGGCUUGCACAUUGUGAAGAGUAACAAAUGCAAAUGUUGUCUGUAUGCCAGCACUGAGUCUUCAGGAGCACAGAGUCUGCGAGGAGUUGGCAAGCUUUCCACCGUGCACAGGAUGAGCGAGGAAAUAAUUUCUCAUGAGAAAGUCCUCAUGUUUCAUCUUUGUAGCACUGAUUGGUACAAAGGAAGGUUAUGAAAACAUAAGAAAAAUAGGGUCAGAAAACAAAGCCUGCUUUCAGGGAGAGGCUUUUAUACUCAUCAAACAAGAUACAUUUCAGAGCUUUGCGCAGAAUUAUUAUAACUUCUAUUGUAUAAACAUACGUGGUGCUUAACAGAACAUCCUAAGUGAAACAGACAGGCUUACAAUAUGCAGUUAAGGGCAACUCAACUCUGUUUUAGGAUGGGCCCAUGUCCUACUUUAGAGAGGUUAGUCCUCUCUUUGAAGGCGCCCUGUGUUUGAAUGACACUUUGGUCCAAGUCCAGUUUAAUGAUUAAAAACUACCAGAAGUUGCCCACACACUGUUAGCACCAGGAAAGCAAACUAAGGUUAUAUACACAUUAGUGGCUUAAAAUGCAGUGAGGUCGUCCCCCUUCACCCCCAGCAUUUGAAGUCACUUCUGCAUGUUUCUGUACACACCAGAGAGAUGGCAGAGAUGUCUUCACCCCCCCAUCCACCAAACCUGUUUGAUUUCCCUGCACCUGCAAUCCCCCUGAAACUGAGUAUGCACUUUCAUCUGCGCAUGUGCAAUGGCUGUCUCAAAUGUGCACACCACACCUCAGCUUAACUACAAAGUGAACAUGUUUUAUGUUUUCAAAUACGAUGGAAACUAGUUGGAGGAAAAACAGCAGUAUUUCUCAAGGAACUGCAGGACAAAUGUGGAUUGUGGCUAAUGUCGUGUGUGUGUGUGUGUGUGUGUGUGUGUGUGUGUGUGUGUGUG